CGCGAGGGGACCGCGAGGGGACCGCGAGGGGACCGCGAGGGGCACCUGCCGGCGCCCCGGCGCGCUGAGGGAGGGUCGGUCCCGCCGUGGGGGUGGGUGGCCGGGAGAUAAGGCGGGUGGUGCCGCGGGACCGCGGUGGGAGGUCUUGCAUCAGGCUCCCGCUGCCAGCCGUCGGCUUUCCUCACAGCCCGUCAUCGAUGUAUUGCUUCUCCCUGGCUCCCGUGCGUUGCUGAUGGCGUUGCUAAACACAGGAAGGGUGUGUGUGCGUGUGAGGGACGUGUUUGUGUGUUUGUGUCGAGGGCUCGCUUUAGCUUGACCAUGAGGAGAUCACGUACGGGCUUGGGAAUAGGAUUGUACUUGCCGGCGGAGCCCGGUCGUUGUGGCUGGGCUGACGGAGGGACGAGAGCUGUGUUUAUCUGAUGCCUGGCGCGGUGGCACUCAACGAGCAGCGGUGAUUGACGAGUCCCUGGAGCAGAAACACCGGCACGGAGCUCACACCACGACAGAUCCAGUCUCAUGAAGUAUUUUGACCAUCUCGUAACAGGUUGUGUGUCUUCAGAAGUCUUAGUCUACAGAAGUAGAGGGUGCUCAAGUCUUUUGGGGGAAAGAAAAAAUACAUGAGGAGUAAGCUGAAGAAACAUUUAAAAGGAAGUGGGAGAUUCUGUAAUGUAAUUGGAAUGGAAAUAGCAUUAGGUAUGAUAACGGUAAACAGGAGUGUGCUAAACAAUCAUAUCCUGUAACUUUGAAGAAGGAACUGAAGUUAUUCACUUCUGUUUAAAACUCAUAUCAAGUGUUAAAAGAUGUGCACCAUAUACCCCUGUGAUGAAAUCAGUCGACCUGGGAUUUUUGCAGCCAGAUCAACAGUUGUGGAAGUUGCAUAAUUCAUGUGAUUUUGUAGCAUUCCUUUCCUUGUUGUCAUACUUGUCUUUGGUGUUUUUUAACAUCUCCUUGUAAAAUAAACCCAUCUUUCUCUGGAAAAAUCUACUUCCUCUAUACAAAUUGUGUUCUCUGUUUUUGUUCUGAUUAAGCAUUCCAAGAAGACUGUCAAUAAUUCUGAGGUGAAGUGUUUUCUUCAGUGAAGGUACUUGGACCAUCUUUCAAAAGAAACCAGAAUCCUCUGUAGUAAGAGCUGAGCUGGUAUGCCACCUAUGCAGCAUGAAGGCUGGCUUGGCAUCUGAUUUCAGCCUAGACGGGAGUUACGAUCAGUUCAAAAAGUUGAAUAGAAGUUUCUUCUUGUACCAUCCUGUUCACGGUGGGGCUGGGCUUGAAAGUGUUUUUAACUGUCAAGACAGAUUAACAAUUAAUAGUGCAAUGCAAUGGCUUUUUCAUUGGCUGGUGGAAGAAG